AAGUCGUGCGGGAAAGCGGGGGCAACUUCGCAAGUACAGCGGCGCACGGGUGAGUAACACGUAGGUAACCUGCCUUCGAGACUGGGAUAACCUGUCGAAAGACGGGCUAAUACCGGAUACGACCACCGGGGUUGCGGCCGCGGUGGUGAAACGGUGGCCUCUGCUUGCACGCCACCACCCGAAGAUGGGCCUGCGCGCCAUUAGCUUGUUGGCGGGGUAAUGGCCCACCAAGGCAAAGAUGGCUAGCUGGUCUGAGAGGAUGGCCAGCCACACUGGGACUGAGACACGGCCCAGACUCCUACGGGAGGCAGCAGUGGGGAAUAUUGCGCAAUGGGCGAAAGCCCGACGCAGCGACGCCGCGUGGGUGAUGAAGGCCUUCGGGUCGUAAAGCCCUGUCGGGAGGGACGAAACCUCGACGACCGAAUACGUCGUCGACCUGACGGUACCUCCUAAGGAAGCACCGGCUAACUCCGUGCCAGCAGCCGCGGUAAUACGGAGGGUGCAAGCGUUGUUCGGAAUCACUGGGCGUAAAGCGCGUGUAGGCGGUCUUCUCAGUCUGGUGUGAAAGCCCGGGGCUUACCCCCG
rnacentral:rRNA from 1 species